UGGAAGAAAUUUUUAAGUCUAUAGAACUCUGGCAGCUCCUCAAGCCUGCGUAUCUAAGCAGUUUGUAUGAAUGAGAUGACCUUAAGAGGAAAGAGUUCUCAGUGCUUGGAAGAUACUAAGAUGAAUGUCAUGGGCAAACCUGCUUUAAAGACAUUCUGGGAAAAAUGAAAUGCCAUCUGGAUAACAUGAACUUUAUUCAAUAAAGUGUUUAAUUAAGUUAAGUACCAUCAACAACCCUUGAAUAUUAGUGCUUGCCAAUGUUCAGAACAGAUUUUCCUUAGAACAUUUUCUUUCCAUAUAUAUUAGGAUACUAGAGUGACUUAUCCUAGCUUCACACAUAAAUAUUUGUGUUAACCAGGCUGAUGCAAUAUCUCUUGUGUACCAAAGCAUUUUUUAAUGGAAAAACCAUUUGGAUAACGAAAGAUUCUGGAAAUGGCAAGCAAGAGUAAAUUGAAGAUUUCUAACUCAACAGGUUCUGGGGACAGAGCCUUUUGAAGACAGAGGAAUGAACACACACACACACACACACACACACACACACACACACACUAUAAAGAAACAAGCAGGGAAAUAUUUUAGAAAGAUCUGUCAAAGAACUAGAAUGUGAAAAGAAAAUCAAUCACAAGGGACAGAAUAUAUUUGUUCACCAAAGGAACGUAGGAGAAAAAAAAAAAGGAUUUUAAAAUCCUAAAUAUGGGAUCAUCUCAUUGCUCUUGGAUAAUUUGCUUAAUAGUAUUAUUUGCAUGUUUGUUUUUUUAGUGACUGUAAUCCUUAACCACUGUAAUUCUGAAAAAUACAGACUUGAUUAUGCUCUGUUUGAUUUUGCUUUGUUUUAAAGAGAGAGAGAGAAACAGAAGA